CCUAUGCUUCCGCCAGCGGUCCCCUCUUUGGGGCCCCAGCUUCAGUGCAGACAAGGGGUUUCGACCCCUUUGCCGUACUGACGCCCGAACGCCGAUUCCUUGCGAAUCCUUGUUCGGGGCCCCGAUUGGCUUCGGCCCUUCGGAGGGGUGGCCCACCACCUCGAAACCCGUCCCUCGAGGAACGACUCGAUGA
rfam:Marine metagenome 1096626835202, whole genome shotgun sequence.